rnacentral:lncRNA from 1 species
AACAGGCAGAAAUCGGAGAAUUCGUCGCCGUCCCCCUUGCAGUCGGAGAUCGACGGCGCCUCGGGCUUGAAGAUGAAGAGCGCCUGCCUCAUCCCGGUGCCGAAGAGCCAGUCGUGGGCGUCCCAGUAGACCUGCACCUUGAGCUUGUUGAUGGAGAUGCAGUCGUUGCCCCUGAACUUCCACUGCAGGUGCUUGACGAGGACGUUGACGCAGCCGUCAAUCUUGAUGACCAUGUCGACGUCGGCUGCGCCCCCGGCCAAGUUGCCGCUGCUGCACUCGAUGCUGAUGUCGUGCAGCUUGCCCUUGUCGUGGAACUUGGCCCUGGUGAGGAACCGCUUCUUGCUGAAGACGUGCUCCUUCUUGCACACCAGCCUGGCCGCGUCCUGGAGCGACAGCGAGGGCCGGGACCCCGUGCGCCGGAACGCCUCCUUCUUCUGGUUCCCCAGCAGCAGCACCACUUCCUGGUCCGACACCACGGCCACGUAGUAGUCGGACACCGGCUCCGGCUCGUCCGAGGAGAACCGGGCCGACCGGAGGUCCCAGACCACGUCCACCACGGCGUUCGCCUUGCCGUCCACGUGGAACUGCUUGGCGCCGUACUUGCGCCAGAAGUGCCACGGCUGCAUCUCCACCUUGCAGGCCGAGGCGCCGCUGCUGCAGCUCUUGCCGCCCGCCACGUCGCCGUUGCCGCCGCCGCUGCUCUUGUCCUUGCCGCCGCCGGCCGAGCCUUCGAUGGAGACCUGCAUGCCGUGGGCGAGAAGGUUGCGGCACCACGUCACGGUCACCAGGCGGCUGUGCCCGGCGAUCUCGGCACGGUACACCAGCGUCACCGCGCUUUGCCCGGACCUUGUCGCCGGUGCCGCAGACGCCGGGUUGUCCGCCGGGAGCUUCUCGCCCGACGAGAAGCAGGAAGGGACCGAGAACAAGUCCUGCAUCCUGCGGAAGUACUACGCUUUGAUCAAGUUAUCUGCUUUGAGGACUGAGAUAUGAAGAGGGCUGGACUAACGAAGGCUACUACUAGUAUACAUAGGCGCCAUGGACCGCCAUGGAGGAGGAUCCAUGCAUGCAGAGGCUCGGGAGUUUGGCGAGGAGGAGGAGACCACUGGUUAGCGAACCGAGCUGGAAAGGAGGAGGGGGAGCUUAGGGGAGGCCAAGAAAGUGAGCUGUACAAGAAAGUGAGUUGGGGGGAUACCUAGCCUAGCUGAGCUGAGCUCCGUGUUUAAAACCAACUAGGAACCUUCUCCUCCUCUUGCUCGGAAUAAAUGCCCCAGCCCCCAGCCCCAGGGACCAAAUCUUGAUUUCUCCGCAGCCCAUUUCGCUAUGUGGAGUAUUUCCCUUUUCUUCUGCUGCCAACUUUCACCACGAGGGGUGUGUGUGUGUGUGUGUCGAGUGUUGCACUGUGAGCUCUGAGGUCUCGGUGAUGGCGAGCAGGAGCAUGUGGGUAACAUGCUGCAGAUCAUGGCACCGCAUGUGGAGACGCGGCACAGGAUUUCUGGCCUCUGGGGCCACCUGGGAGAGUGUUAUGAAGGACAUUCAGUAUCUGCGCCAAACAAUUUGCAGGCAGGGGGAUCAGUGCCUCUGCUGCCUUGUUGACCGGUUGAGCUGGAACUGUGCCAGCACAAGCACUACCGACCUCGCAAGCUCAUCAAAUUAUGUGGCACAUGACACCAGAGGUAUACUCCAAGUCAUCCGGCCGGCGACAAGAGAAGAAUCUUCCUGUUUAGUUACCGGAUUAGAUGCCGUCAGGUUGGAUUAGAGGCUCAUUGCACAGGGCCCUGCAAUCUGAAUGCCGUAGUACAACGCUAUUGAUGUGCAGUUUAUAUAUGAAACGUUCACUUCUACUAACUGCAGAGCCUGGCCGUUUCCACGAUCUUGGGGGGCAGAAGGAAAGGAACACUUGGUCUAGAGACAAAAGAGUGGUCAAUGGACACAAAAGGGGCUUUUGGACAGUAGCUCUGAUUUCCUUUCGAGUGAUCGAUCGAUGCCUCCUCUGCCCGCAUAAAAACCUUAGAAAGAAGAGGUGACGCCUCCUGAAAUUCACAGGGCGGAUAAACCCUCUGGACUGCAUGUCCUUCUCCUCGUGCUCGUCAGAAGGCAUCUGAUUGGAUUGUUCAGCAAAAAGCAGGCAGUAGGCCUUGUCGUGCAAAGCUUCUGUCCUUUUGGGAACAGUGUACUGAACGGGUGAUGGAUGCAUCAAGCCAGGUGAUCGGUGAAGGCGACGCGUGGAAUAGAGACGGCAGCACCAGUAGCUUCUAGGCGGGGAAAAGGAGGUUUCAGCCUGUGCUGGAGUUAUAAGGUGGAAAAAUGAUGCAACUACUUGGUCAAGAAAUUGGUAAACGCAUGCUAAGCUACACUAGGUCCAACGUAAAGAUCAGAGAAGGUCUCGUCAUAAUUGGCCUCCUUGACUAUGCAUGGCAGAGACCGGCCGUGCACUCGUAAGGCCGGCCGGCGGGCAACUACCGAAUUCCCAAUCAAGCUUUAUCGAGAUCUCUCCAGAGAUUGAUCGGUCGGCACGACGGAGGGAUCGAGAGCCGAACUGCCGCGCGGGAACGCACAUGCCGAUCAUGUUUUCAUAUGUGCCAUCGCACAAACGCAUGGCUAUAGCUGCACGUACGUGCAAAGUGCGUCGGGCCUGCGACAUGCAUAACCGGACCCCUCUGGUACAGCAUGCAUUGCACGCAGUGCCAGCCCCCUGGCCGUCCGAGCGUGUGGCCGGCCGGAUUGGGGUUUUGAUUGUCCUGCCUGGAAGCUCGUAGUACGCAGAUACACACGCACCCAGCCAGCGCCCCGGGUUGCAGGCUGCACGAGAACGAACAGCCACAAAAUACUAUUUCAAUUUCAUAAUUCUUUGAAAUCUUACGUGUAUCUAGAUAUAUUUUUUUAAAUAGAUACAUUUAUUUUUGAGCAAAUUUGAGACAAGAACUAUGAAAAGGAGUGAGCAAUAAAAGCCGCGUACGUGUACAAUCGUGUGGGACGUUGCUUUCAAGGUAAGGAGUGCUAAAAGUCGCGUUAGUGUACGAUCCAACAACGGACCUUUCAAAGUAUUGAAACGCGCGUACGUGUACAAUCCAAAACGUUAGUUCCUGGACUCUCGCACCGCACGUGUACUCCGAACUCCUGCACUCUAAAUUCUUGGAUUGUCCUUCGAUGAGGUUGUACGUACGCCGCCGACCAUAGCGUUUAAACAUUUUGGAAUUUGGAGAGGAGACCACUAAAAACACAAGCAAACACAGAAAUGGAAAAGGCAUGAUUCUGGUCAACCAAUUACGUAACGUGUGGUCGCAGCGAAUGAUCAUCUUUUAUUAAUGACGAAAAUACAGCAAGUGGUUGGUAGUAUCAAUUUGGUGUAAAUUAGCACAAAGACGAUCGCACGCCGACCACGUACAAGUUCCAUGGUUCGGCGGCACGACGCCACCUAAGGCCCUAUGAAACACGCAUUUUUUAAAUGCAAGAAGAGAACAAAAAUUUCUCUUGGAGUUGUACCAUGAAUUUGUACACAUAUAGCAAGAGAAUUUCAUGUACUCGUAACAUUUUAAAAGAAAGAAGCUAAAUACAAGAUAGCAUAAUUUGUUUACUCUAAUCUUGUAUAAAAAAUAAUGAUGUAUAUUAAAUUACUACUAGUAUGAAAAUUCUUCAACCCUUUUACUCUUAAUCCUGGAUUAGUUUAAGGUCGUCCUAAAUGAUUGCCAUGUGUAAGACAACCAGAUACAGCUACAAGUAUUCUAUCACUGUCAUGUCCCGCGAGAGCUUACAAUACAAACCCAAUUCCACCCCUGUCGUUGUAAUAUUCCACUGCUCUACUACGACUACAAGGGAGGGGGGGACUUGGUCACAGCGAAGAAGGGUUUGUCGGUCUUGCUGCGCCUCCUCGGCCACCGCGUCCACGACGGCCUGCCAUCUCCUCCGCGGUUCGGCUCCUUCGCCGGCGUGUCUCACUCGCAACCCGCCCGCCGGCGAACCCGUGGUCGGCGACGCCCUUGCCGCACCCCGCGGAAGUGAACUCGCUCCGGGCCUGGUGAGCCCUGCUGGGCUGCUGCUGCUGCCGCCGCCGCCGGCACGGUCGUCCCGAUCCGCGAAUCGGCGUCCGCGAACUUGGUAAGCAACAGCCAUGCGGCUGCACCCACACGCGCACACCGGGAAGAGACGAGAAAAUUUCAAACUGGCCGUUCCCCAAUUUGGGAUCUGGUUGCCCCGAAUUACCUUCGAUUCAUACUUCUCUGAUUCUCCUUUGCCUCUGUUGAUUUGUUUUGCGUCUGUUGUGAUGUUGUAGUGAUCUGUAUGUAUACCGGUGUUUGCUCCUCAUGUAGAUCUUGCUUCCAGGGUUCCACUCUAAGAUUUCUCCAACCCCUGCCCAAAUUUUGAGUUAGUAUGUAUAGCAUCUGUAUGUACUUAUAUGUAUGUAUGCUUGUCAGUAGUGUUCCUAUCUUAGAAUUCACUUGUGACACAGUAGGAAGCAAUGCUAACUUCCCAGUGGUGAAUUUGCUUGUGUUGGUUGUAGUUGAGUAUUUGCUUUAAUUUCAUUCAUUCAUUACGAAAUUCGUUCAAAUUGGAAUUGGGGAUUGAGCACUUGAGACGUACCUAAUGUUACGGAACCUACAGAUUAUUCAUGCCACUUCUGAUACAUUAUGGUGAUUUCUGGCGGUGCAGUAGCACGCAUGCAGUAGCUGUGUGCCACCCUUGAAACUCCCAAGAGAAAACACUCUUGCUGCUAGCUCUGUAUACUAGUGUCAGCCACUUGUGUUGGUAUUGGGUUUUCCGACAUUAUACUUCUACAUUUCUUCGAAGCUGGAAGAGAUUGGCCAACUGAUAGAUUAACUUACAUAUAGGGUACAAAUGGAGUUAUGGCGAUAUAGUAAUAAUUGCACAAUAGUGGAUUGGCAGCAUUAAUUCUAUUAGGUGAAAGCCACCUGAUAUUUGCUGGUUAGCAUCUUGUAAUUCUGAUGUGGGCAUGGCUUUUUGAUAACUCUUAUCAAACACAUGACUUUUAAGGAAGUUAGGAAUCAGAACUAUUAUCAUCUGCGAGUUUUUCGUGCUUGAAUUUUUAAGAAUGUCCAAAUGAGGUAUAUAUUCAAUAUACAAUGUAUAGUAAGUUAGUAACCAUGUAGGCUAGUUUCCCCAUGAUGCGCUGAUAAAAAGUAUGUUAGGGUUCAUGUGUUCAUGUUUAUGCAACAGAACCAGCUUAAUCAGUACCCAUUUUCUCUUCUCAAUGAAUUCUCCUUUCUCAUGUUUACAUCAUUUCACCUUUUACAAAAAAACUGUAAUUUGUCAUUCUUUUCCCCUUCUUGUUGAGCAGCUACAAGUUCUUCCACAUCCAUUGCCACCAAUAGAUAACCCUUGCAGCUCCAAUGGCAAAGCCUGGCAUUCUAGGCCGGAGGUAUGCUUGUUGCUUAUAGUUUAUGGGCUAUACUAAUGCCUAGUGACAAUUUUUACGUGGUCCUCAAUUGCUCAUUUGCGUGCGUAAUAGUUCUAUUGUCAAUCUUCAUCAGCAGCAGUAUGCCAAGAUCAAAUGAGGGCAUGAGGCUCAUAUUCUCAGCAGUUAUCGGCGUUAUGCUAGGUUACUUGUUUGGGAUUUCCUUUCCUACAGUUAAUAUAACCAAGGUAAUCAUUUGCAUCUCUUAUUUUCUUAUGCCGCAUACUCUGCUCAGAAAAAUCUUGACUGUCUGAAUUUCGCAGCUUCAUUUCCCUUCCAGUAUUGUGUCCUAUAUUGAAGAUAGAAACUCUGGAAUCACAACCCAAACAUUGUUGAACCAUGCAUGGACAUCUGCAAAUAGUCACAAGAAGAACAAUUCUGAUUCGAAGUCUGAUGAAAUUCCUAAGGUAUUUUGCCCAGUUAUUGUGGUUGGUUAUGUUAGCUUUGUGAUUCAUGUCCUGUAUGUGUUAGACCCUGCAUUUUUAUUUUGUUGGUCAAUGCAAUCUGUGUUAUCUUUCUUCUAACCUGUAUAAUUUUUUUGUAAGAUUCUGCAUCGUUAUUUUGCGGUCAAUGUAUUCUGUGUCUUUUAUAUACUUGUGUUGCCCCUGUAUUUAUCAUGUAUGUCAAAUUCUGAGAUUACAUGUGAGAUAUAGAACUGUAUAUCUAGGGAGGUUCUCCCUAAUUCUUUGUGGAAAUGUGGACGUUGUUGUCAAAUUCUGGGUCAUCAGUUAUCAGUGGGAUUCGAUUGAAGUCACUCUCUUUAUAAAAAUUAGAUCGGUAGUUCCUCCUACAUAUUCUCAUCUUUUACUGGAAUUUGAUUAACCUCCUUUAUCGAAGUAUAAGGCACAGCUAACUGAAUAGAUGGCUGCUGCUCAUUGAUAAAGCUCGUUUUAUUUCCACUUUAUCAUUUGUUUUAUGCUAAUGUUUCUUUUGUCAGAUUUAUGUUACCUCAAACCCUAAAGGUGCUGAAAGGCUUCCACCAGGCAUUGUCGUGUCUGAAACAGACCUUUAUCCGCGAAGAUUAUGGGGUGAACCUAGUGAGGUUAGCUGUUGUUUUGCUUUCUCUGUUGUCAAGUGAUGCCUUUAAAUCUCUAACUGACUUUUUUAAAAUCUCUUUCUUUUGUGAUCUACGAUCUGAAACAUACAAUCAGGAUCUUACUAUCCAGCCAAGGUACCUUGUUACAUUUACAGUUGGAUAUGCGCAAAAGGCAAAUAUUGAUGCAGCAGUUAAAAAGGUGAUUAAUUAGACUUAGCGUGCAUAACUGAAUGCACUGGUUAAAAUAUAUUCUUCAACUGAUCUGGUAAAACUGAUCAUGCAUCCCAGUGGUUUAGUCACUUUUUUUACAUAUGAAAUGGUAAUGAUUGCUUUCAUAUUCAUGCAUGUCUUCUAAUCUUCUAUAUAGUUCUCGGAGAAUUUCACAAUUAUGUUGUUCCACUAUGAUGGCCGGACUACUGAAUGGGAUGAAUUUGAGUGGUCAAAAAGGGCUAUCCAUGUCAGUGUUAGCAAGCAGACUAAAUGGUAAGUUAGUACACUUGUUAUAGCAUGUAUUUUGAAUGUUUCUAAUCUGUUAUUUGUUUGUCUGGAAGUUUAAUGAGUUACCUAUUAUUUACCCAAGGUGGUAUGCCAAGCGAUUUUUACAUCCUGAUGUUGUUGCGCGGUAUGACUACAUAUUUAUCUGGGAUGAGGAUCUAGGUGUUCAACAUUUCAAUGCAGAGGCGUAAGCUCUAUACCCUUGUUUCCUUUGCCUGCCACCCUGGUGUUCCCUCCGAGUGAGUCUAAGGAAGAUAAUUUCAACACAUAUUUUUAGGUACAUUGAGCUAGUUAAAAAGCAUGGCCUAGAGAUCUCUCAACCUGGCUUGGAACCUGAUAGAGGUCUGACAUGGCAAAUGACCAAGCGACGAGGUGACCGAGAAGUUCACAAGUGAGUUACUGAACCUAUAUUGCUUUUGUUGAUGCUUAACUAUCACUUGCCUAUAUUAGUUCCGUCAGUGAUAUUUGCUUUAUACAGAGUAACCGAAGAGAGGCCAGGCUGGUGUACCGAUCCCCAUCUGCCACCAUGUGCAGCGUAGGGACCCACUCAUUUGUUAUAAAUUAUUUCAUCCAUCCAAUAUGUAUUCACAUUUUAAUAUUUAAUUGAAAUGCAGAUUCGUCGAAAUUAUGGCGACUGUGUUCUCUAGGGAUGCGUGGCGCUGCGUAUGGCAUAUGAUUCAGGUGGAGGUGUCAUUUAGAUUACUUAGCUACUUAUGUUUGUUCGGAAUUGUUUUCUUACACACUGGUUUCUGCAGAACGACUUGAUCCAUGGAUGGGGUCUCGAUUUUGCUCUUAGGAAAUGUGUGGAGGUAUUAUUUUCACCAUUAUCAUUUAGACAUAAUGACCUAUUACUCUCUUGAAAGCGAUCACUACACAUGUGAAUUUGCACUGGUAGUAUCAACAGUUUAGGGGGUUGAAUUUUUGUUGUUUAGGGGGUUGAAUUUUUUGUUGUUUAGGGGAUUAAGUAUACACGCCAUGAAAAUUCCGCGGUAUCAUUGAUUGCCAUUUGAAUUUUACAAGACACGAAACAAAAUUCUUGCUAGGAAUCUUAUAGAAUUGGGGCGUAGAGAAUACAUGAUUUUUUUGUGGUCGCAUUCCUUUUGAUCCAAAGGGAUCGGGUGGCAGUAGCACAGAAUCAGGAUGAGCUGAUGCAUAAACAUUUGUUGGAUUUUAGUUUUUGUAUGCAGUGGGAAACUAAGUUUUGUGAACCUUAAGCGCAUAGAAAACAAAUCCUUAGCCCGAUUUUAGGAUAUGCAUGAUUAACUAUUUGAUCAAGUUUUCAUGGAAAGCCGGCAGCAUCCACAAUUAUAACUUCUACAGCUAUUUGUUUCAUCACUUGUGUUUUUUUUUCCAAAUAUUCAUGUUUUACUGAGCUUGAACUGUUCUACUUGAUCUUAAAAACACAGCCAGCUCAUGAGAAAAUUGGAGUGGUUGAUGCUCAGUGGAUCGUUCACCAGGGUGUCCCGUCACUUGGUAACCAGGUAUACUCACCGUUCAUCUUACCUAUCACUGUACACCGCCGCUUGUUUCCUGAUUCGGCAGCAUUCUUCCUUGCAGGGCAAGUCAGAGAAUGGAAAGGCACCAUGGGAAGGGGUAAGCAAAUACGCAGUGAUUCAAUUUACUCUACUACACAUUUCACAGGGCAAACUUUUCCAAACUCUGAAUUCUAAACUCCACACCACGACAGCACCCAUAUGCAUAUGGAUUUGCACUUACUGUUAGUUGUAUUCUGCCACGCCGCAGGUAAGAGGACGUUGCAGAAAAGAAUGGGGCAUAUUCCAGUCAAGGUUGGCCGACGCGGAGAAGAAAUAUUACUUGGAUCAAGGGAUCACGCUGCCGAAUUCAACAUCAUCUUAGGCGAAUUCGUGCGGCGGCACAAGGAGUAGCCGCGGUAAGGUUUCUGUUCUGGGAACCUGGCCCUUUUACGUGCUCAGUAUGUUCACCAAAGCAGCUGCCGCAAUAUUAAGCUGAAGCUCCAGGGCCAGAUCUGUACAUUGGGAUGUCGCGGGGGAUCAAGAGCAUAUGUUGCACCAGAGGGGUGGCACGUGCGAAUAACCAAACUUCUGUAUCAUAUUAUUGUACCGACGCGUUGCAGAGCAUCAGUUUAUUUAGUCACUUAGAUUAACUUCCAAGGUUCUCCGAGUAUUAGCAUACAUGGCUUAUGUAUCUAUAUGAGUAUGCAUACAUAGGCACACGAGCAUAUCAUCCUCGUAGUCGUAGGUGGGCAGGGCUGCAGUUCAGGAGCAUCUAUCCAUAUUAUGCAGCUCAGAAGAGGCUGUGGUUCUUGCGCUGGGUCCAGCCGCCGUAGCCGCCACCUGAGUAACCUCCAGUGGUGGUAGAGCUGUGGUAGGAUUCAUACUGGCGCGUGGUGCUGCCAGCGAGCUUCCCCUGCUGCUUAUACGCCUGGAAGCCAUAAGCUCCACCGGCGCCCCCGUGCCCAGCAUGAGCCAGGGCCAGCUCCUCAUCGCAGUCGCUCUCUUCCUCGCUGCAGUCGCUCUCGUCCUCGCUCUCGCACUCCUGCUUGUACUGUGUCAGGGCGCCAGCACCGGCGACCUGGUGCUUGUAUGCCUUCCCGUAUGACUGCUGCACGCCACCGUGCUGGUACGACUGGCCCUUCUGUCCAUAGGCGGCGCCGUGCUGCUUCUGCAUCUCCCUGCUCUGGACGAGGGCGUCGUACCCCGCGAUGCCGUCGUCGCAGACUUGCGGCUGCCGGUACGCCGCCUUGUGCGCGCCGCUGUAGCCGCGCUUCUGCUGCGCCUUCAUGUCGAAGGCGUCGUACUCGUACCCUGCGAUGCCGUCGGCAUCGAACCCUUGCUGCUGCUGGUAGCAAGCAUUCUGCCCGUCGGCGUAGCCGUACCCCUUGUGCCCGCCGCCGUGCCGCUUCUGCGUGCCGCCGUAGCCGUAGCCGUGCUGCUUCUGGACACCCGUGCUGCCGUGGAGCAGGCCAGCAUCGACGUCGUACCCAGCGGCAUCGUACGAUUCGUACCCUCCAAAGCCCCCAUGCUGCUGCUGCUGCUGGCCGUACGCCUUCUGCUCGUAGCCGCCGUGGUGCUUCUUCACCGUGUAGUUCUUGGCGGCGUCGUGCUGGACAGCAGCGUCGUCGACGUACCCAGCUCCGGCGAAGUUAUCGCUGCUCCCGUGAUGCUGGUACGACGACGUCUUGUGCCCGUCCACGAAGCCCCCGCCGUGCUUCUGCUCGUGCUGCUGCAGAGUGCUGUCGUACUCGUACCCUGAUCCCACCACCUCGCUCCCGUGCUGCUGCCCGUAAGCCGCCUUCUGCUCGUAGCCGUGCUUCUGCACCGCGCUACCACCGUGGGAGUACACUCCGGCGCCGGCGUCCUCCUCACACACCUCCUCCAAGAAGGCGCCGUGCUUCAGCGCAGCGCCACCGCCGGCGCCGUAGCCCGGCUUCUCGGUGACGGUCAUGCGGGUCAUCUCCUUCACGACGGUGGUCACGGAGUCGCCGUUCUGGCUUGUGUGGUAGUUCACCAGGGGCUUCUUCUGGCCGUAGCCGUAGCCGCCGAAGCCAUAGCUGCGCUUGGGCAUCGACAUUCUUGGUUCUUGCCUAGUUUUUUCUGGCCCUUCUUUUUUACGGUACUCUGCUUACUCUUACUACGUCUUGCCUUGUGUGCUCGUAUCGAUGGCCUUGCGAGGCAGGGUUAUAUAGGCGCCCGGGAGCCGUGGGCGCCAUGGCAUUUGUGCUCGAUCGGUAGAUAAUGGAAUGGGCCGGAUUAUAUGCUCGGUGACUUUAUAUUGGGUCAAGAAUCUAGUUAGUUACAUAUUCGAACCCAAGGUCUGUGUAUAUCUUACAAUUCUAUGUGGCCGGCCAAGGCAUCUCGGAACGUGAUGCAUGUACUCUGAUUUAUUGGAGGAUAAAGCCAAUAUCAUAUUCGCGGUGCCAUGUUUCAUGUUUGAUGCCCUAUAUGCUUUCUUACUGCGCCUAGCGCUAAUAUGCUUAUUUGGUUUAUCGUAUCUUACAGUGAAAUUAGUUGCUAGCUCAAGCUCUUGCGUUGCGUCAACGUGAUACCAUCAAGGCGCGCGCAUGAUACUUGCAUAGUUUUAUGGGGUUUUUUUUCUUUUCGGAAAAAAGAGUGUUAUCUUAUUCCUUCUUGAUCGCUGAUUCACUGGUCCUUUCUCUGAUUUUAAAAACAUAAAGAAAGAAGCUCACCAGGGUAUACAUAAAAAGGGUGUGGUUUAAAGCCUGAUUCUUAAGGCAUCCAUUGUUACGAGUCUUAAAACACAAAUUAGAUCCGAUGGCUGAGCAAUCGAUUUAUCUCUAACUAAAAAUCAGACGACAUAGAUAUAGCAAAGCCCAUAUAGAAAUCAGACGACAUAGAUAUAGCAAAGCCCAUAUAGAAAAUAUAAAAUCACGAAUCUAUCUUUUUUUUUUAGAACAACGAUCUGUUCAACGAAAGGAUCCAUGCAAGUCUGAGCCGAGCAUAAACUUGAGUACUUUGGCUAAACAUAAGUCGUAGAGCGGAUGAAAUUUAAGCAGGCCUGUUUGAGCCCGGCGCAGUUGUGCUGCUCGGCUAAAGCGAGGAUGGUCACCGCAUUGCUGCUGUCAAUGCACUCGCAGAGCGUCUCUUCACAAAUCAGCUUCAGCUUGUCCAAAUCAUAUCUAUCUGCCGCCACAAGCAAAUGUUGAGUCAUCGUCACGUCCUGCUCCUGCGGCGUCUUCUCCGACUCCGGCGACGUUAAGCACUCCGUGUACAGGAAGUAGAGCAGAGCCUCGAACACCUGCGGCGCCAUGUCCUCGAUACGCACGGCAUCAUCUCUGGCACCGGUGCUCUCCUUCAUAGCACCGAAGAGCUGCGCCUUGAAGACCGGCGACCGAGCGGCGAGGAUGCACCGGUGCGCCGCGAACGCCUCGUCGCCGACCAUGAACGUCACGUCGGCGCCCUCUUUGCUCGAGAGGAGAUCGCCGAGGUGCCGCUGAAGGCUGGCCGUGCAGGCCGCUGGCGGCACAAAAAGCGCAGACGGCGCCGUCAGUUUGGGGGGGGGCAAUAAAGCUUGGGCGACGGCGAUUUGCUCCAUGCGUACUGGGAACUCGCCCUGGACGGCGAUGUCGACCUUGAUGGUGAAGCAGUCGUCCACGAGCAGCCUGGAUUGUUCGAGGUCUUUGUUCUUGAAGAAUCUCUCGUGACCGUUGCUGCUGCUCCAGAAGGAACUGUAGGUGCCCCUUGUAGAAACUCGUGACGUCCCGCUGCUGUCAACGAUGCUGAUGCCGUACUGCGCCUUCAGGUCGGAAGUAUUCGAGCGGAGGAAGACGGACAUGUAGCCGGCGUUGUCACGCCCUCUGCCGUUGGGGUACAAGUCGAUAGACCAGCUUCUAUGGCCGCCUAGGCUGAAAUUGCGAGAUGUGAUGCAGUGGUUGUUGGGCAUCCCUUUGGUGCGCGAGUAGCCGUCGAUCUUGAGCAGGUGGAAGCCGCUGGUCGGGCAGAAGACGAUGCUCGACGCGGAGGUGUCCUCGCUGGCGGCGGCGGAUGCCGGAGUUGCCGCUUCCAUGAUGGCGCGCAAGUCGACGAACCUUGGUCGGUGUGAUCGAGGAGAUCGAUGGGCGUAAUUCCGUAGUUACAGUUCCAGCGACAUUAUAUUAAUCUAGACGAUGUUUGCGGUUUGGUUCAUGUCGAAUGAACUGUUGGCGGCUACGGGAACGGACCGGCGGCGAUGGGGAGGGACUCGGAGGAGACGGCGGGGAUGGGAGAGGGGGCGGCGGAUCUAGAACGGGAUGGAAGGCGGAGGCGACGAGACGAGGUCGUGGAUAUAGAAACAGCUUACGGUUUGGUCCAUGUUGGACGAGCCCACGCACUGGGCCUAAACACCACGUCUGCUGGGCCAUUUAAUCCUUGGGUUGGCUAAAUACAAGUUUCAAUACGGAAUGGGCUCCUUGAAAAAAACAAGGUUGGUGGGCCUGAUCGAGCGCACAUGGUAACCUUUAUUAUGACUUGGGUUGGCUAAAUUGACAUCAAGAAAAUAAAAAAAAUGACAUCAAGAAAAUUGACAUAGUGGCUCCCGCCACCGCCGUCGCCAUGGACAUGGUGCUCGAUCGCGGUGCCCGAGGUGGCAAAUAUCAGAGCAUGCAACGCAAGAUGCUUAAUCAGGUGCUUAAAAAAUUAACCAGAUGCUUAACCUAACUUGGCACAUCUUCUAUACAGAUAAGUGUUAGUGUUUAAGAAGAUUAUUUUUUUUACCGAAAAUUGUAUGAAAGAUUCCCGACAGUAUUAGUGUUCAAGAAGAUAAUUGGUUUAUUUUCGCCGUGGACGACUGCUUCACCGUCAAGGUCCCGUCCAAGGCGAGUUCCCUUCGCAAGGAGAAUAUCUUCGUCGCCCAAGCUUUGGCCCCCAAACCGACACCACCACCAGCAGCAGUUGUGCCGCCCGCGGCUGCCAGCCUUCAGCGGCACCUCGGCGAUCUCCUCUCGAGCAAAGAGGGCGCCGACGUGACGUUCAUGGUAGGCGACGAGGUGUUCGCGGCGCACCGUUACAUUCUCGCCGCGCGGUCGCCGGUCCUCAAGGCGCAGCUCUUCGGUGCUAUGAAGGAGAGCACCGGUACUACUAAAGAUGAUGCCGUGCGUGUCGAGGACAUGGCGCCGCAGGUGUUCGAGGCUCUGCUCUACUUCUUGUACACGGACUGCUUACCGUCGACGGAAUCGGAGACGCCGGCGCCGGAGCUGGACGUGAUGACUCAAUAUUUACUUGUGGCGGCAGAUAGAUAUGAUCUGGAGAAGCUGAAGCUGAUCUGCGAAGAGAGGCUUUGCGAGUGCAUUGACGCCAGCAAUGCGCGGUGACCAUCCUCGCUUUAGCCGAGCAACUCAGCUGCACCGGCUCAAACAAGCGUCUUAGAUUUCAUCCGCUCUCCGAAUUAUGUUCAGCCAAAUUAAUUAUUACUCUCUCCGUUUUUAAAUACUUGUCGCUGUUUUAAUGCGAAGGAAAUACUCAAGUUUAUGCUCUGCAUAUAGCACUGUUUCUCAUAGUAAUUCAUCUGCUCCGGCCCCUUUGUUUGGGCCGCGUCACCUUGUUCAUUCAAGAAAAAUAUCUUCUUUUUUACGAGGUUUGAUUUUGUACUCGAUCAGUCACCUUGAUUUAAUUUGUCUGUGGACGUACGUGCAUCAUCGAUCGGAAGCAGCAUGACCAGCAUGUACGUAGUACAAGAAGAUUUUAUUCAGGUCACAUAUCACGUACAUACACUAAUAGCUGCGCAUGCACAUGCACAUACUACCAUGCAUGUGCCAUGACCGGGUGCAUGCUGCAUGCACUCCGUGUGGUCGGGGGCGUCCAGGGACGGGCAGGGGCGAGGUCGGGGCGGCCACAGGGACAAGGAAGGCGGGCAGGGGCGAGGUCGGGGGCGUCCAGGGACGAGGGAGGCAGGCAGGGGCGAGGUCGGAGGCGGCAACCAGGGGCAAGGGACCGAUCGUUGGCGGCCAGGGUCGGGGACGGGCCGACUGCGGUGGCUCCAGCGGGCGGCGGCAGGAGAGGAGGAAGACGAUGCGGGAAGGAAUAACUGUCACCACCAACCGUUUUUUUUUUUGGAGUUCGGGUGGCUUCUUCGGGUUGUGUGGGACACCGAUGAUAUCCAGGCUGGGGGGAGUGUUAUUCGGUUGAUACGAUCUUUUUUUUAUUCGGUUCAUACGAUCUUUUUUUAGAUUCCGGAAAUCUUCAGUAUUUAUUCGGGUCUUUUUUGACACCCAAACCUGAAAAUUGGCGGUUAUUUUUCGGAUCGGAACUCUUUUCGGUAUCUUCUAGAGUGGCUCUAAAGGGCGCUGCAGAGUUCUAUGGUGUGUUUGGUUUGCUACCAAAACAUACCAAACCAAUUUUUUGG